AUGAACUUACUGAGUGGGCCCAUUAAAAGAUGCCCCCCCCCCCGGUGUAGUCAUGCUCUAGGCUUGUUGCAAUUCGCCUGUUAAGCCCCUCAUUCUGCAGGCUUUGCACGCCUGGAGGCAAAAUCUAAACUGUUAGGAAAGGUGAAAGCCACCCCAGUGCCCCUGUCCCAAGCAGGGCAGCGAGCAUGUAGGGGCAGGACCGCCGUAAACGGUGGGAAGGGGAGAGGCCGGAAUGUCGACCAGAUCAUGGAGUUUGUGUGCGGCCUUUCGCCGAACGCGCACACGUGGAGUUCGGUGCAUUGUCACAAAAAUGGCUGUUCAUGGAAAAGCGCGGAGGAACUCCGUCAGAAACUGACAUGUGACGACAGACACCCGCAUGCCCACGUACACCCUGAACACCCUGAACACCCUGAACAAGCAAACAGGAGACCGCCUGUAUUAAAAAAAAAUAAGACUGACAAAAAAAAAAAAAAAAACGAUGAAAUUCAUUUUUCAAGAUGUCAACAUGAAUUGUUCAACAUAAAUGGACGACAUCAGCACAACGUGUGCGAGCACAAAGACUCCAGGUGAGAAACGGGACCAACGGGUCUGACCGUGUCAGUGGGGCGUCGCUGCAGGUGAAUUUACGCUGUCUGCACUGCAGAGACUUUAACGUCAGGCCUCCCUGUUAAUUAGAACAGGAGACCAAGCGACAGAGGGUUGGGAUGGUAGUGAGAAGGGCAGCUCGCUCACCUCCCAGGAAGGGAGUCGCUGCACCCCCGGGAAGCUUCGACAUGCCCAGUCUGGCACCAGGAAAAACGGCGGCAUCAAAAUACGGAAGGAACCUUUUCACUCUUUAAUGUGCAAAUCCAACUGAACUGUCGACUGCAUGAAAUCAGUAUAUUCUUUACGUCUGACAAGAGUAAUGUGGGUCCAAAUCAACCCUCCUUUUCCAAAGUGAUUCUUCCGUCCCUUGAAGCCCAGGACAACAGCUGGGCCCUGUAACCUUCCCAAUAGGUUCCCAACCAUCAGUACUUUGCUCUGAAAUCCAUCGGUUUUGCAUUUUCCUCCAGCAGAAGUGAGCAGCCUUUUUUCAACAACGUUUGUUCAGGACAAGAACCGGUGGGGAAGUUCUAUCCAGCAGUAAAGCUGGACCUCAGCUGGACAUUAACUGCUUUUAUCUGGUGGACUUAGUCUUGAACAAAUAAAAUAAAAUCUGUCUACAU